rnacentral:tRNA from 1 species
GUAGAAGUGGCUCAGCGGUUAAGAGCACUGGCUGCUCUUCCAGAGGUCCUGAGUUCAAUUCCCAGCAACCACU